rnacentral:tRNA from 1 species
GCGAGAGUGGCGGAACUGGUAGACGCGCUGGAUUUAGGAUCCAGUAGGUAAUUCCUGUAGGGGUUCGAGUCCCCUCUCUCGCACCA